GACGAACGUUGGCGGCAUGCUUAAUACAUGCAAGUCAACUGAAGCAGUGGUAGCAAUAUCGCUGUGGAGGUGGCGCACGGGUGAGUAACACGUAGGUAAUCUGCCUUCAGGUCUGGCAUAACUCCGGGAAACCGGGGCUAAUAGCAGAUGAUGCAGCGGCUCGACAUCGAGACAGUUGUUAAAGCUAUGGCGCCUGAAGAUGAGCCUGCGUCUGAUUAGCUAGUUGGCGGGGUAACGGCCCACCAAGGCAACGAUCAGUAGCUGGUCUGAGAGGAUGAUCAGCCACACUGGAACUGAGACACGGUCCAGACUCCUACGGGAGGCAGCAGUAAGGAAUAUUGCUCAAUGGGAGAAAUCCUGAAGCAGCAACGCCGCGUGAGGGACGAAGGGCUUUUGCUUGUAAACCUCUGUAGUGAGAGAAAAAAAUCCCAAUCUUUGGGACAUGAUGGUAUCUCAAAAGUAAGCCCCGGCUAACUACGUG
rnacentral:rRNA from 1 species